AAUUUGUUAGAAGUCUGUAACAGAAAACUGAAUUGUGCUAUUGCUCUUAUACAAGCACACACAGGACUUGACCUUUCCUUUUGGUUACAGAAACACAGAAGCUUCUUGAAGUAGCAGCAGGUCAAACAUAGCCAGAGGUGUAGACAUUGUACAAACAAGGCUUCUCCAAAAGCCAAAAUAAACUUUUAACUCUUAUUCUUUAA